rnacentral:rRNA from 1 species
CCUACGGGAGGCAGCAGUGAGGAAUAUUGGUCAAUGGACGAGAGUCUGAACCAGCGAAGUAGCGUGAAGGAUGACUGCUUUAUGGGUUGUAAACUUCUUUUAUAAAGGAAUAAAACGAGGUACGUGUGCCUGUUUGCCUGUACUUUAUGAAUAAGGCUCGGCUAACUCCGUGACAGCAGCCGCGGUAAUACGGAGGAUCCGAGCGUUAUCCGGAUUUAUUGGGUUUAAAGGGAGCGUAGAUGGUUUGUUAAGUCAGUUGUGAAAGUUUGCGGCUCAACCGUAAAAUUGCAAUUGAUACUGGCAGUCGUGAGUACAGUAGAGGUAGGCGGAAUUCGUGGUGUAGCGGUGAAAUGCUUAGAUAUUACGAAGAACCCCGAUUGCGAAGGCAGCUUACUAAACUGUGACUGACAUUGAUGCUCGAAAGUGUGGGUAUCAAACAGGAUUAGAUACCCCGGUAGUC